CCUGGCUCAGAGUGAACGCUGGCGGCAUGNUUAACACAUGCAANUCGCACGGGCAGCAAUNUCAGUGGCGGACGGUGAGUACCGCGUAGGAAUGUGUCCAGAGGUGGGGGACAACCUUGGGAAACUGAGGCUAAUACCGCAUAUGAGCUGAGGCUCAAAGCCGCAAGGCGCCUUUGGAGUAGCCUGCGUCCGAUUAGCUAGUUGGUGGGGUAAAGGCCUACCAAGGCGACGAUCGGUAGCUGGUCUGAGAGGACGACCAGCCACACUGGGACUGAGACACGGCCCAGACUCCUACGGGAGGCAGCAGUGGGGAAUAUUGGACAAUGGGCGCAAGCCUGAUCCAGCAAUGCCGCGUGUGUGAAGAAGGUCUUCGGAUCGUAAAGCACUUUCGACGGGGACGAUGAUGACGGUACCCGUAGAAGAAGCCCCGGCUAACUUCGUGCCAGCAGCCGCGGUAAUACGAAGGGGGCUAGCGUUACUCGGAAUUACUGGGCGUAAAGGGCGCGUAGGCGGCGCUCCAAGUUAGGCGUGAAAGUCCUGGGCUCAACCUGGGAACUGCGCUUGAUACUGGAGUGCUUGAGGAUGGAAGAGGGUCGUGGAAUUCCCAGUGUAGAGGUGAAAUUCGUAGAUAUUGGGAAGAACACCGGUGGCGAAGGCGGCGACCUGGUCCAUUACUGACNCNNAGGCGGGNCAGCGUGGGACA
rnacentral:rRNA from 1 species